GAUGAACGCUGGCGGCGUGCCUAAUACAUGCAAGUCGAGCGAACAGACGAGGAGCUUGCUCCUCUGACGUUAGCGGCGGACGGGUGAGUAACACGUGGAUAACCUACCUAUAAGACUGGGAUAACUUCGGGAAACCGGAGCUAAUACCGGAUAAUAUAUUGAACCGCAUGGUUCAAUAGUGAAAGACGGUUUUGCUGUCACUUAUAGAUGGAUCCGCGCCGCAUUAGCUAGUUGGUAAGGUAACGGCUUACCAAGGCGACGAUGCGUAGCCGACCUGAGAGGGUGAUCGGCCACACGGGAACUGAGACACGGUCCAGACUCCUACGGGAGGCAGCAGUAGGGAAUCUUCAGCAAUGGGCGAAAGCCUGACGGAGCAACGCCGCGUGAGUGAUGAAGGUCUUCGGAUCGUAAAACUCUGUUAUUAGGGAAGAACAAAUGUGUAAGUAACUAUGCACGUCUUGACGGUACCUAAUCAGAAAGACACGGCUAACUACGUG
rnacentral:rRNA from 1 species